rnacentral:lncRNA from 1 species
CUUCCCUUUAGUGCUGAAGAGGCAUCUGGGCUCCAGAACCUUGUAGCUGGGUAUCCCUUACGUCCAGAAUCAUCAUCAGACCAUGCAGAUGCCAUGCCUCCAGAGGCUUCUAGAAUAAGAGAGAGGAACCUCAGGAGUACAUACCAGCAUCCCAAAGUCCUAGCAUCAGCAUAUCAUUUUGUAAAGACAGGUAACAAUUAAUUGUUUUUGUUAUAAAAUGAAUCACUUCAAAUGCCAAAGACCAACUGUAAAGCUGACCACACUUACUGGGAAUCAUUUCCCCUACCACCUGUGAAAAAGGCUCUGUUGAACCCAUGGAAAAAUGUCUCUUCACCACACAAAUGAUUCAGAGAAAGAGCUCCAUUCUGUCAUACACCGACUGAAGAGCUUCCUGCUGCUGGUAGUGCUAAAGUUCUCAUGCCUAGAAAUAUGUAUUUAUUCACUCACUGUGGGGCCUCAGAAAGUGAAAACACGUGCCAGCUAUUCUGAGCACUGCUUUCUUUAUCAAGGUAACUGGAAGCUAAAUGAAUAAUCAGGAAGGUGUGUUCUAAAUUUGGAAUAAUAAAAAAUACAAUUACAUAUUAUUAGAAAAAUUUCCUCUCAAGUCAUGGAAAAAGUCCUAUGAAUUACCCCUAUCCAAUUACAGAGAACCUUUCUUAUAACUGUAUUAUACAAAAUCCUUCUCUUUUUAGAAAUGGAGAUAACUUCAAAACAAUUACAAAACCAUCCUCAAAUCCAUCAGAAGUUUUGGAGGAUAAUAGAGGUUGUGGUGGUGGAUGGGGUUGUACACUUGACAGAGGCUGCCUGGUGGUCAGGACCAACGGUCAAGCAUCACAGUUUUGGCGAAAAAAAAAGAAAGAAAGAAAAAAGAAAAAAAACAUCAUCUGGAGUGAUAGGUAUAUACAUCUAUACCCAUCUAUCUGUUAUCAUCAUCUAUCUAUGUCAUCUACUAUCUAUCUAUCUAUCUAUCUAUCUAUCUAUCUAUCUAUCUAUAUCUGUCUCUCUAUCAUCUAUUCAUCUGUCAUCAUCUCCUAAAACCUCAGAGAGUAAAAUUUCAUGUCUCUGUGUAUAUAUGCAUUUUUAUAUAUGUAUAAUUGUUUAUGUGUGUGUGUGUGUAUAUGUGUGUUUGGAUUUUAUGUAGCCUAAACAAGCAAAAGACAUAUAAAACUUUAUCAAGCAUUUUCCAAUUACCUUUCAGUAAAAAUAUUAAUUAACAAACCAGAUUCUCAUA